rnacentral:tRNA from 1 species
GCCUCUGUAGUUAAAUGGAUAUAACGAGCCCCUCCUAAGGGCUAGUUCUGAGUUCGAUUCUCGGUGGGGGUGCCA